UACGUAGGGGGCAAGCGUUGUCCGGAAUCAUUGGGCGUAAAGAGCGUGUAGGCGGUUCGGUAAGUCGGUUGUGAAAGUCCAGGGCUCAACCCUGGGAUGCCGGUCGAUACUGCCGGACUAGAGUUCGGAAGAGGCGAGUGGAAUUCCCGGUGUAGCGGUGAAAUGCGCAGAUAUCGGGAGGAACACCUAUGGCGAAGGCAGCUCGCUGGGACGUUACUGACGCUGAGACGCGAAAGCGUGGGGAGCAAACAGG
rnacentral:rRNA from 1 species